AUUAUUGUAGUCAUAAUUGUGACGCUGCUGGCUCUGAUCCUGAUAGCUGUUCUUCUUCUGUGUUGUUGCAGGAGGAAGAAGAAAACUCUGGACUCCCCCAAUGAAGCGAAUGACCCUGUGCACAGUGUGAAGCUGGACUCUGGUCCUGAGUACCAACAUGUCUCAGGCUUCAAGUCCAUCUCAGCAGCACAGACUGAAGACUCUGAGCAACAGGAAGAGCUAAUGUGAAGCAUCACAUUUUACAACAUGCACUGUUUAUUGUAAACAUUUCAAAGACACCUCACCAGAUGGCACACUUUAGAUGUUGCAGUGGCUGAUUGGAAGAAACAGAGAGCUUCCCUAAUAACUUUUGUUAGUUUGAACAUCAUUUCAGUCCCCUCUCACUCCCGCAGGAGGCGCCACUGUGCAGAAAGUUUUAGACAAAAUGUUUCUGAACAGGUAAAUAUAUUUGUCAAGCCGAAAGCACUGAGAGUGAACAACACAGCUUUCACAGGUUGGAGAGGAAAGAGCAGAAUAUGUGU